CCUACGGGUGGCAGCAGUGAGGAAUAUUGGUCAAUGGGCGCGAGCCUGAACCAGCCAAGUAGCGUGAAGGAUGACUGCCCUACGGGUUGUAAACCUCUUUUAUAAAGGAACAAAGUGAGGCACGUGUGCCUUUUUGGAUGUACCUUAUGAAUAAGGAUCGGCUAACCCCGUGCCCGCAGCCGCGGUAAUAAGGGGGAUCCGAGCGUUGACCGGAUUUGUUGGGUUUAAAGGGGGGGUAGAUGGGUUUUUAAGUCAGUUGUGAAAGUUUGGGGCUCAACCCUAAAAUUGCAGUUGAUACUGGGUGUCUUGAGUGGGCUAGAGGUAGGCGGAAUGCGUGGUGUAGCGGUGAAAUGCAUAGAUAUCACGAAGAACUCCGAUUGCGAAGGCAGCUUACUG
rnacentral:rRNA from 1 species